rnacentral:rRNA from 1 species
AUUGAACGCUGGCGGCAUGCCUUGCACAUGCAAGUCGAACGGUAACAGGUCUUCGGAUGCUGACGAGUGGCGAACGGGUGCGUAAUACAUCGGAACGUGCCCAGACGUGGGGGAUAACGAGGCGAAAGCUUUGCUAAUACCGCAUACGAUCUAAGGAUGAAAGCAGGGGACCGCAAGGCCUUGCGCGUUUGGAGCGGCCGAUGGCAGAUUAGGUAGUUGGUGGGAUAAAAGCUUACCAAGCCGACGAUCUGUAGCUGGUCUGAGAGGACGACCAGCCACACUGGGACUGAGACACGGCCCAGACUCCUACGGGAGGCAGCAGUGGGGAAUUUUGGACAAUGGGCGAAAGCCUGAUCCAGCAAUGCCGCGUGCAGGAUGAAGGCCUUCGGGUUGUAAACUGCUUUUGUACGGAACGAAAAGGCUCUGGCUAAUACCUGGGGCACAUGACGGUACCGUAAGAAUAAGCACCGGCUAACUACGUG